GUGCCAGCCGCCGCGGUAAUACAGAGGGGGCAAGCGUUGUUCGGAAUUACUGGGCGUAAAGGGCGCGUAGGCGGCCUGUUAAGUCGAACGUGAAAUCCCCGGGCUCAACCCGGGAACUGCGUCCGAUACUGGCAGGCUUGAAUCCGGGAGAGGGAUGUGGAAUUCCAGGUGUAGCGGUGAAAUGCGUAGAUAUCUGGAGGAACACCGGUGGCGAAGGCGGCAUCCUGGACCGGUAUUGACGCUGAGGCGCGAAAGCCAGGGGAGCAAACGGGAUUAGAUACCCCCGUAGUCC
rnacentral:rRNA from 1 species